rnacentral:rRNA from 1 species
ACGAACGCUGGCGGCGUGCUUAACACAUGCAAGUCGAGCGAUGAAGCCUAGCUUGCUGGGUGGAUUAGUGGCGAACGGGUGAGUAACACGUGAGUAACCUGCCCCUUUCUCUGGGAUAAGCGCUGGAAACGGCGUCUAAUACUGGAUAUGCCUCAUCACCGCAUGGUGUGUGGGGGGAAAGAUUUAUCGGAGAGGGAUGGACUCGCGGCCUAUCAGCUUGAUGGUGAGGUAAUGGCUCACCAUGGCGACGACGGGUAGCCGGCCUGAGAGGGUGACCGGCCACACUGGGACUGAGACACGGCCCAGACUCCUACGGGAGGCAGCAGUGGGGAAUAUUGCACAAUGGGCGCAAGCCUGAUGCAGCAACGCCGCGUGAGGGAUGACGGCCUUCGGGUUGUAAACCUCUUUUAGUAGGGAAGAAGCGAAAGUGACGGUACCUGCAGAAAAAGCACCGGCUAACUACGUGCCAGCAGCCGCGGUAAUACGUAGGGUGCAAGCGUUGUCCGGAAUUAUUGGGCGUAAAGAGCUCGUAGGCGGUUUGUCGCGUCUGCCGUGAAAUCCCGAGGCUCAACCUCGGGCUUGCGGUGGGUACGGGCAGGCUAGAGUGCGGUAGGGGAGAUUGGAAUUCCUGGUGUAGCGGUGGAAUGCGCAGAUAUCAGGAGGAACACCGAUGGCGAAAGCAGAUCUCUGGGCCGUUACUGACGCUGAGGAGCGAAAGCAUGGGGAGCGAACAGGAUUAGAUACCCCUGGUAGUCCAUGCCGUAAACGUUGGGAACUAGAUGUAGGGCCUGUUCCACGGGUUCUGUGUCGUAGCUAACGCAUUAAGUUCCCCGCCUGGGGAGUACGGCCGCAAGGCUAAAACUCAAAGGAAUUGACGGGGGCCCGCACAAGCGGCGGAGCAUGCGGAUUAAUUCGAUGCAACGCGAAGAACCUUACCAAGGCUUGACAUAUACGAGAACGGGCUAGAAAUGGUCAACUCUUUGGACACUCGUAUACAGGUGGUGAAUGGUUGUCGUCAGCUCGUGUCGUGAGAUGUUCGGUUAAGUCCGGCAACGAGCGCAACCCUUGUCCUAUGUUGCCAGCACGUGAUGGUGGGAACUCAUGGGAUACUGCCGUGGUCAACACGGAGGAAGGUGGGGAUGACGUCAAAUCAUCAUGCCCCUUAUGUCUUGGGCUUCACGCAUGCUACAAUGGCCGGUACAAAGGGCUGCGAUACCGUAAGGUGGAGCGAAUCCCAAAAAGCCGGUCUCAGUUCGGAUUGGGGUCUGCAACUCGACCCCAUGAAGUCGGAGUCGCUAGUAAUCGCAGAUCAGCAACGCUGCGGUGAAUACGUUCCCGGGCCUUGCACACACCGC